GCGAGCAUAGAACUAAUGAAGCGUCAGUACCUUUAUUAGUAUUUACUCAAGUUAAUGAAUUUCAGUGGAUAUGUUCUUAGAAAGCCAUUAUUUUGUUUCUCGCUUAAGUUCAUGAUGCCCAGUAAAAAACGAUUACGCUCACACACUCAUCUAGUAGCAAAAUUACAUUCAGUGGACAAAUUCACUAGCCCGGGACGCUACGAAAAGCAGAUUAUGUCUAAGUAUGUACUGUACGAGUUUUUACUCAUACAGUCCAGCAGGCUGCUGUUAAAGCUCUCAGCAGCAUUGCUUUUCUUCUCUUGUCUAAAAUCCAAGUAAAGAAAACUCCUUACUCCCUAUAUUUGCAAAAGUAAGUUUUUUGUUUAAUAUAUGCAUAUGUUUAAACAUUCUAUCCUCUAGUAAAUUACUGUAUUCCCUAGUGGUGUAAAACAAUUUAACGCUGUCACUGUAGCACAAUACUUGUUCCUAGUUAUAACAACAGACAUUAACCGACACACACUCUGACUGUUUGUAGACAUUUUUAAUUGACUAAUGAAUUAAGUGGAAUGUGAUUUUUUCCAGAAUCAGGAACAUACUGUAAUGCGAAAACACUAAUGAAACUGAGCAAGAUGCAGUAUAUAGUGCAAUGCAAAGCUUCAUGUAACUUUACUCAGACAGUAGUUCCGGCUGUAACAUAAAAGAUAGGUUUAUAUUAAUGUGCUCGUUGUAAUACAUUCUACAGAGUAACCCAAAAAUCUUCAUACAUAAGGGACUAUGUAUGCCAGCUACGGUUGUGCUUCGUCAGUGGAUGUUCAUGGACUUCCACUUCUCGGCUGGUCUGUGACACUUCCAGUCUUUUUGAAUUUGUUAAUAAGUUUAGCAACAGUGUCGUGCGUGAUGUUAUUGCCAUAUUUCCUGUUAAAGUCCAUCACAACCUUGUGACAGCUUCCCAAUCCAGCCAUGAGAAUGAUUUCAAUACGUUCUUCUUUUGUCAAAGGCAUUCUUAAAGGCUAUCUGAAAAACAUAUAAACUAGGUAUGCAAAAUUUUGGAAGACAUUUUGCUAAGAAGUGUUCAUUUCCACUUAUGUAUGGAGACUACUGGGACACCCCGUAGUUUCUAUAGUAACUCAUGCACAGGGACUUGCAUGGCAGACGCAUAAUCUAUGACUAAUAAUUAACAGAUUAAAAAAUGUGUUGUUUAACAAGUGGAAAUAUAUAAUCAUAUGGUGUUAACACAGUAUCUUAGUACACUUAGGUGGUCAAAUUUUGUUAUUUUUUUAAUGGAAGGAGAAAUCUGAUCUGAGACUGUUGUGUGUUAUUCCUUACAUAACUUUCACUUUUUAGCCUAGUUAAAAGAGAACUCCACCCUGAAACACAUUACGUACAGUAUGUUUAUACUGUAAUAUUUGUGAGGUGCUUAGGAAUUGCCAUCCUAACCUGUUGGUUUGUGUUGUAUUUUCAUUAUUCUUGUGAGAAGUUAGCAUUUGUGUAUGACUCUGGCAUCAUAGAAAUACAUUGCUGGUACAGUUACAGUGGUGUUGCAAGCAAUAGAAGAAAAGUUUUCUUGUUAGCUCCUAAAAAUAAAAUAGCAAGAGUGUAUUUUCACACUCACCAUUUUCCAGAGAUGUGUAAUGUCAUUGUAAUAAGAAACCCAACAAGUAGUGGAAAGAGCAAACAGCAGUUGGACUCUAAGUUCUAGACAGAGCUAUAUGACAGAUUUACAAAAUGACAAGCACAGUGCAGUUGACGGUGGUAUUAGCAUGAAAGCUGAAACUUUGGAACGAUAUCUGUUUGAACAGAGUGUAACAAUGAGGAGGUGCGAGAGCUGCUAAAAGCGCUGCUGCACCUUUAGCAAAAGUUGUCGAUGAUGUCAUGGUGGAAUUUUUCUUUCAGUACUUUUCCUGAAGACAAAAAUAAAAGAUUGGACAUUAUAAUGUUCACUUGCCAGAGGGCUAGCAAAUAUAUGAGUUGUUCACCCCUUACAUUACAGAAGUCUUUGACCCCUAUAAUCAAUAAAUAUUACUUGUAUGCACUAAUACCCACGGUUUUAUCCAGGACCUUCUAUAAAAAAUAGUUUUAUUUGCGCACAAACUGCAUGUGUUUUAUUAACCUCUCAGAUCGGUGCACUUUGCAAGAGCAUAUGGAGUAAUAAUUCCCAUACACUGUUCUGGUCAACUUGCAUAUUUUUUUGUGACUUUAAAAACUUGUAGCACUCUCUUUGCCCUCAGAUAUCUAGCAGAUAAUGCUAUAUGAAUGGGAAUAAUGAAUGCAUUAGUAAACUUAAUGGCUGACAUAUGAUAUAUCAGCUAAAUGCACUGAAAGCACAGCAUGCCAAACACUAACUAUGUGAGAACUAUGUGAAGCAGUAUAGCUCACACUGACAUUGUCUCACUGAGAAAGCUCUUCCAGGAAAUGAUGCACCUUGUCUACAUUAAUGCUCUCAUCUGCUAUCUCUUGAUACCCCCCUCAACACACACACGCACACACACGCACAGUGGGAACAUCUGUGUGAGUGCAGCUUUCAUUCUUCAGCUCUACACCAUCUCACCUCAGAUCAAUAACGAGUCCAUCUCAUCCCACUGCUCUACUACUACCAUCUCCACCUCUCCCUUUACUUCCUGAGAUGUAUUAGUGUGGCUAAUUGUAGUCAGAUUGCUUCUACAGUCUACUUAGUUUAUUCUAUUCGGCACUCCUUUUUUUGUAAUAAUGUCCCUGAUCUGUACACUCAUGCACAUGUUUUUACGUCAUAAAUACAGGUAAUAUUCUUUCACAUACUAUACAUACUAUAUAGUUAACAUAAAGUGCAUGCAUUUAGUUCAGUAUGUGAACAAUUUCAUUAAAUUUAACUGGGCUGCACAAGAAAAUGUGUUUAAAUUACUAAAUAAAAGAGAGCUUGGGUAUUACAGCUGGAUAAAUUGGAAAAGGAAAUGAUGAACCAGUACAUGGAACAUAGACAGUGGUGCUCAAAAGUAAAUUAAACAAAUUAACUACAAUAAAUUCUAGACACCUUAUGGGAUGGAAAACAAAUAUAUCUGAAAGAGAUGUGAGUGACUGUAUGUGUGUGUGUGUGUGUGUGUGUGUGUGUGUGUGUGUGUGUGUGUGUGUGUGGGUGAAUUACAGUAACUGAUUCUGUGUAAAAUUGGUAUAAAUUAGUAAAAUGCUCAAAAGGGAUUAUUUUGUAAUGUGUAUCAACAGAUAAGACAACUAGUAUCUGUGUCCUUGAGCAAACAAAUAACUGCUCCAGCAAAGUCGUAGUCAUUCAGAAACAGCUUUAUCAGGUAGAGCAUGUUAUCUGACUCGAAGUUUCCCAAAAUAUUUGUCUGUUACUAAUUGAAGAUAAAUAUUGUGCACAUGGAAGCCAAGACCAGAGUUUCCAUUCCUGACUGAAUUCUAAAAUGAGUCAAAUAAAAAAAAAAAUCAUAAACAUGAGCCUUACAGUUAAUGCUAUUAAGUAAGGAAUAAAAUAUGAAGUUAUAAGAAAAUAAUCAACGACGAAAGGAUGUCAAGCCGUUACCACCCUGAAGUGUCGAAAAAUCUUCUAUUGCUCUUAUACCGGAGUAAUUUGUCUCUGUUUUAAAUUUAGUAAAAAACUAAUUGUCAUACUUUUUAUCCAUUUAUAGUUACAGUUAAUGUUGUGGAACAUAAACAAAAUACAGUAAGUUAGUUCCUCUUACACUAUGAUUAUAUGUCAUCCGCCUGCUUUCUCUUGAAGUUAAUAAGACAGAAAAACUGUAGAGUAAUUCUAGUAAAAAACUUAAAGUUAUCUGACUGUUACAAAGUGCUGACACUGGAGACUCCUUCGAAAAAUGCUUUGCCAUAUGUAUGAUUAUACUUUUUUUGUUAAAUAACAACACAUUAAAAAUAUUCUUUGAACUCCAUGUGAAAUAUAUACUUUAGCCAGAAUAUGUUAGUGUUGCUUUCCACUGUACAGUAAGUCUGACCAUUACAUUUUGUUUUAAGUCCAUCAGCCAAAAGAUCAGAAGCUCAAAUUCAACUUAAUGUUUUCUGUGGUGCAGUGUGUAGAGCAUUAAUUAUCCAAUUCCAAUGUAAUGGGUUUGGUUCCUACAUUCUGAUAAACCUGCAUGGCUUGGAGAUAUGGGCACCUUUUGAAGCCCAAGUAAGCUGAAUGAUCCUUCUAAAUUAAUUAGACAUUUUGAAUAAUGGCCAUUGAUAAUGUCUGCAAUAUCUCAUGAACACUAAGAUGCUGGGACCCCAAUGAUCACCACUGAACCAAAUUAAUUACAAAUUCCAUAUACUGUACAGAAUACAAAUGGGUUAUGAUUGUAAUUUUUAGAUUCAUGUUUUUCAUGUGUCCUUUAUUCUCAUCCCAACAUGUCAGAGUUACAGAUAAAUAGACACUUUGCCCAUUUUCCUCGCUAAACUAGCUCAGAGAUAGACAUUUCAAAAUAACUCAUACUCUCAACGUUUAUUGAGAUUCUGAGGCUGGCAGGAUGACUGCAUGUCUAGGCACAUCUAAAACUCACAUUUGCUCACUGCUCACAGUCACUAAGGGCUGAGAUGCAAACACUCAAAAUGGUGUGAGUCUUGUGGAAAUUUAAAAGGCACUGCCCUCUACUUCCACCUUAAGUGUUUCCAAGUGCAUUGUGUACUGAGUCUGUAUUAAAAAGGGAUGGGAGUGUGCAAAUCAUUUCCAAAGUGAUCUCUUGAACUACUAGAUGAGACAUGAUAGAUCCAAAAAAAAAAGAAAAAAAAACACACCAAGUAUUUACAAGGAUCCUUCUGCAAAAAUUGAAAAAGAAGGGGAUGGAGAGAAAAAGACCUGAAAGGAAUACUUCGGAGAAAUCUCUUUAAACUACAAUCAAAGCACAAGAGAAACAGCAUUUGUACUGACAGGUGAAUAAUAAUAAGUCAAUUAUAGAAAGAGUGAUAAACAAAAUGGACGUUUACCUCAACUCAGUAAUACUCAGCACGAAAUGAACCCAAAUGUGAGCAUUUUAAAGGAGUAGUUCACAUAAUUCUUUAAAACAAUGUAACCAAAAUUAUAAGAACAGAGAGGUACAUGAAAGAUCCAUUCAUUUAUUCACUUCUAUAGACUUGAAUAGAUUUAGGCUUAAUUUAAAAAGAGGCAUCUGCUCCUAAUCUCAGAUGCCCAAUCCCACGUUUUCCAAUUUGCUAAAAUAUGCCAAUCACAUGAACUUUAGAGUGCCAAGAAGGGAAAGGCACAAGAAGGAGAGUUUGAACAAAAUAAACCUGCCGUCAUAUUGUUUCAGGGAGAGAGUGAGUGGUUUACAGCGCUGUCAUAUCUCCACCUGAGAGCCAUUUGUCAAACUCCUGGAAGGGAAGGAAAGGUGUGGGGCCGCCUCUCAGACUGACAGCUGAGCCAUUAUGCGCCACAAUGCACACAAUGCUCAGAACAGGGAGAAAUUACAUAUAACCAAGCAUUUAAAUAUUCCAUCUCAACACAGUGAAACAAGAGAAAUUAAAUUAAACAGGGUAAAAUUAUUCAGUGCAAUGACAAGGCCUUGGAGAGCCCCAGGCUAGGGAGGGGUGGGGUGAGUGUGAGAGAGAAAUGGGUUCGGUGUGGCACUACUAGUGCUAAGUACCUAGAUCACAAACACAACAAAGUCUUUUUAACCUGGGACCACAUUAAUCCACACUGGUGACAGUGCUAUGGCUCCUUACUGGUGUUGUGCCCCUAAGCACUCAUUUAAGCCCAUAGAUUACUUGUAGUAAAGGUUAUAAAAUACACACUUGUGUGCGUAUGCACACACACACACACACACACACAGAAAUUGUGAGGACCUUCCAUUCACAUAAUUAUCAACAUGCAGCUAAUUAAUGCUUACCUACAUCUAAAUCUAACCAUAACCUCAAUCUUAUUAACCAAAGACAACCUUUUUGCUUUUGUAGGUUUUAAAAUAAAAGCUGCUAAUUUUGUAGGGAAAAAAAGCAUUUUUCCUGGCAUAUAUUCCUUUUCCUAUCUCAGCAUUUGGUCCCCACAAGGAUAUAAAAACACAAUACACAGUUACAGAUAAAUCCAUAUUCUCUAGCAAAACACAUUAGUAUGAAGAUUUUCAAGGUUUAGUCGCUCUGAAUCUUUUUCUCUAUAUAUAUUUUUCCCAUACUUUCUCUCAGGAUUUACAACAUUCAAUUUCACUGGAAUGGCACUUACUUGAAAGAUUCUUCCAAGGGGUGCAUUUUUUUGGUCAAAUGAUAGUCCUUCAUUGUUGGCCAUGGCACAAAACCCUAUAUUUCAUUCCACCAUUCUCAGUACAAUUGGCUGCAAAAUUCUAAAGCUAACAAUGGUAAAGAAAAUUUCUUUUUUUUUUUUUUUUGCCCUGUGUUGUUCCUUUUUGAUAUAUCAUCGACCAGCCUAUUUGCCAAAAGGAUUCCUUCUUCUAACAGUGAACAAACAGAACACAGUUAAAACUGCUUCAUGGUGAAGAAAGACAUCACAGAGUGUCAGGGAGCACCUCUGCAAAAGUUACUCUCAUUUUCAAGAAAAUCUAUUGAUCUUAAAGUGAAUGUAAUGCAACAUGCUGAGCUUGAAUUACUGUGGUGUUAUCUGGAGUCAGAGGUGACAGGAAUAACAGCAUGCAGGUGAAAAAGAAAUCAGUUGUGCAAUUUUUGAAAGCAUGUAAAGUGUGUAAAGCUGUCAGAAAUGUACGGUGAAUUUCUGUAACAUAACAGACACCAUAAACUGAAUCAUAAGAACAUAACAUCAUGAAGGAUAUUAAAAAAAACAGUUUUGAGUGCUGUGCAAUUUCUGGAAGCAUGUACACCAUGUAAAUUUGUCAGAAAAACAAGGUGAACUUGUAUAGAGCCUAUAGACUGAAUCAUAUGGACAUGAACUUAUAAAGAUGACCUUCUGACUUUUAAUUACAUUCCAGUUUAAAGCAUCUAAUCCACUUCAUCAGUGUGGAAACACAACGAUGAAGAAUCUUGCCAAUUCGUCAUCUGCUGUAACUUUCUCAUGCUACGCAAUGAAAGUAGCGCUAUAGCUAUCUGUGUGCAUAUGAAAAUGGAUUAGCCACAAGACUGCAGUGUUAAACCAGAGAAUGAGUGCCCCUGGAUCUACCUCACUAAUAUGUUUCAAUAUGAUGGAUUAAGCAAAGACUCAUAUAAAUUUCACUAAUUUCCUAACGUUAUAUAUGCUACCUGGCUAUAUUUAAAUAAGUUAGCCUGUUUUCUUUGCUAAUGCCAUGUUAUACUAGCAUCGAGUCCAGUAGGUCAUGUAUUUGGCUUAGCAGCAAGUCAAAUUCUAGCAGUAAAUAUUGGUUAUUUUACAAAAUAUUUUAGUUUUGGCUAAUUCAUUAGCAAGCUACAUAGCAUUUUUGAUUGAAUGUUGCUUAUAUCCUUUUUACUUUUUAAUACUGGAGUAUAUUUAAAAGUAGCAACUUGAGUACAUGUUUGGCUAGAUCCUUCCACUUUUAACUGAGUAAGAUUUUAACUUUAUUGUCUAUAUUAUGACUUAAGUAUAAUUUCUCUGUACUUUUUUCUGUUGGGGACAAUUCAGUGGAAUUUCAGACACAAUGUCAAAACAGUUUCUUAACUUAAUGUAAAGGCUUAGAAGUAUGGUGUCAUUUCUUCCAACCCAGUUUGUUGAAGGUCACUAUUUAUGUCAACUACAGGCAGUUAAUAACAUAAAGAGACUAAUUUGCCAAACUACUACAUGAAUACAACUGUUCAAUCCAUUCAAAAGUAAGGCCUAUUUACCAGUCCUAGCAUACGAGGCAGAAUUUGUGCAAAUCGUUUUGCCCUUUCUCGUAUAAAGUUGCCAAUAAUUUUGGAGUGCAGAAUGUAGAUAAAAGCCUAAAAGAUAUCAACUUUUCACAAGAUUUCAGAAUGGAUAUCGCUCCUAGUUUACACUGUGUUUUGCUCAGUUAAAUGAAGUAAAGUCUAUAUGUCAAGUGAGAUUCUCGUAAAUUCUUAAACGCAGUCUUACAGUGAGCAAAACAUGUGGCUAGAAGGUACAAAGCAUGUGUCUUUUUAUACUUCAGCUGGGGAUUCACGUCUAUAAAAUCUUAUGAUGUAACACACUGAGAAAGCAGUGCAAUGAACAUAUACUGUCCAAAAGUAUUAGACUGUAUCAAACAUCCAUUCAACACAGACUUCCCUUCAUCCCGAAAUGAUUCCCAGCACACUACAGCAUAUCACAGUUCAGUCUAUCAGCACUCCCAUCACUGUCAGUCAAAAAGGAUGCCCCAGGGAGGCAGUAAGCCAACACUCAUGCCAUGUUCCAAAUCGGCUGUAUCCCCAGAUCAGUGUGAAUUAGCAAAUGCCAGGCUCAGAGACACGAAGCCCCAGCACUAACACUAACGCCAAAACCAUCAGCAGCAGCAGAUGGACCACAGCGCCACGCAGUUAGGGCAGAAAUGGAGCCGCAGCUGCUAAAAGACAAAAUGAAUCUUUGUCCAUAUGCGCUACUUUGGCUUCUGUGUUUUGUUGCUCAGUGAGCCAACUAAAAAAUACUCGGAUUAAGAAACACCAGUAAAACUUUUGAUGGUACUUGUUUAUGUACCACUACAGAAUAAUAAGAAACUGGGUAUUUUUUAUUAUAAUUUAUGAAAAAAUGCUGGCAUGACAGCUGUUUCAACACAUUAUAAUUGACUUGAGUCAUCAGUAUAUUUUUUUAACAUCUCAUUUCAUUGUGUUGUGUUGCUUUAUACUGUAACCAGAAGUGGAAAGUACUUAAGUAAUUGUGCUUCAUUACUGGGAUUUGUGCUUUACCUCAGUAUGCUAAAAGUUCAAUCUUGUACUCUUAAUUAUAUUUCCAUUUAAGAAAAUUAGAAAAAAGCAAUAACUCUGUACUUUUUAUGAGUUUGACUGCUUAUAGUACAUUUUAUCUAUACCUUUACACUACUUGUAAAUCACAUUUUGUCCUUUUGCCAAGCUACAAAUACAGUCUGUGCAUUUUAACUUGAUUUACUUACUAGAUUUAAGCCAUCCAAUUAAAUCCAUAGCCUUCCAAAUUGUAUAGAUACCACAACCAGUCAUUUUUACAUGAAGCCUACAUGUUUAAUUUUUAUGUUUCACUCAAGUAUAAUUUUGACAAGCUGCCACCAACAUUUUGAUAUACUUUCACUUAAGUAAUUUCUCCACCCCUGCUAAUGAUAAUACUUUUUGGGUUUUGUACUUUUUCCACCACGCCAGUGAUAAUAAGUAAAUAAAGUAUGACACGCGAGCUGCAACAGCUGCAUGCUUACUAAAACUACCUCCACUUCUUAACAAGAACAGCUGUACCAGUGAGGCAGACAAAUAGGCAGAGUUUGAGAAACAGAAGUGAUGACUAAAAUGUGCAUCUCUGUCUCAUUAGUUCAAGACUGAAAGACCCUGGAGGCUGCCAGAGCUGCUGAGGUAGGAUCCUGAUAAAGCAGAAGAAGAGGCAGGAGUAGUGUGCAGUAGAGGAGAAUGAAGGAGCCUUGUUGUGCCAUGCUAUGCCAAGCCGAGCUAACUGACAGGAGAGACAGGAGAGAGUGCUGAAGCCCCAGAUGUAAUGCACUUUUCAAUUAACCUUAAUUGAAUCACUCUCCACCACUGAAAGCUUUGUUUACCAAUGGGCAGCCAGGAAAUGGCCCACCAAUCCCACCUGCUGUGGAGUGCAGAAAAUAAGCACAACAACAAGCUGUGUGGCAAGGCACUGUGGGAAAUCUGGUAGGGGAGUGAUCAUUAAAACUGUGGAAAGAUGGAAGACAGUACACAUGGUUGCUGAGACAAAGAUUUUUAAACUUCUGGCUCUAUCACACAGACAGCAAAUGUGUCCAGCAUCUGUGUGUUUAUCAGCUCCUGCAGACAAAUGCUUAAAACACACCUAGGUGACAAGCUUCCACAUGACAGCCUACUUAAAAGGGUGUCUGCUUUUUAAUCUUCUAUCUCCCAGGGAUGUUUAAUCUCUAGUACAUCAUUAAGUGUGUCCAUCAAAAGACAGUGGUGGCCAAGUGAAAUCUCACAUGGCUGUCAAUUUGACAAAACUUCAUCUGGAGCUUUUCCUCUGUUGAGCUUCAAAUGUACUAUUUAUUGUGCUCCAUGCUUUGCUUCUCAAGGGGCAAACUGAGCAUUUUCAAAAGAAAUAAAAAGUUAUUAAUUGUGCAUGUAUAAACUGAUUUGAUUGUUUAUUGGGCACUGUACCUAAUAAAAUGACAACACAGAUAAACCAAUGUACACACUAAGUUUAUUAGGGAUACUGACUAGGAACUAGUCAAAUCAUGCUGUAACUAUAACAUGCUACUGGUCCUAGGCAGUUUCCAUGAAUAUGUCCUUUUUUAGAAGCCAUACAUGACUGUUAUUAUUUAUGCUUUUUUUUUCCUUAAUGAGCAGGAGUCAGGAUUCUGUGGCAUAAUUGCAUAAGUGCAGUGGUUGGGGGUUAUGAGGGGGCAAGGGGGGGCCAGUCAACAAGCUGACAACAAGCUUGGCCCCUGCUGUGGCCCCUGUAAAUGAGGAGUAAGUCAACUCUGAACUAAUUAUUAUAGCCUGACCACUUUUGAACAGAAUCCUCAAGUGGCAUGUCAGAGUAAAAAUACACUUUUCUAGUCAGACAGUUAAAGGCGAUGGACCGAGUUUCUCUAAGAAGAAAAGCAUUUUCCCUACUGAGCGAGUCUGACUGAAAGUAUAUAAUGGAAAAAGCAAAGAAGAAAUAAAAUGUUUUGUCUUGCCUGUCUAUCUAAGCAUGCUACUAUAGUUGUAUAAUUCCAACAGUCAUGUAUGCUAGCAUUAUUGAGAAUGUGUUACAUUACAAAGUGUAUACAUAGCUAGCUAACACAGAAAACUCAUCGUGGAUGUGGUAUGACCCUUGUUUUUUGCUCUAUAGUUCUCUCUAAAAUGAAGAUGAAAUGUGAUAUAUUGUACUUCUCCCAAAAAAAGAAAGACAAUUAUUCAGAAUGUCAUUCAGGUGGGGAGAGAGCCAAGGCGACGGGUCAGAAUUAGCAGGAAGAACAGGAAGAAUGGUCAGCUGGGGAGCCUGGUUCAGACAGCGAGGACACAGUAGAGCAGGCAGAGACAGAUUGAGAUCCUGGGAGUGAGAAUGAGGGUCAGGAAGAAGCUGAGUAUGAGACAGACAGAAGACCCAUUUGCUUCCACCAGCACAGCACCAUCAGGCUUGUGAUGUUGGACAGCUCUGUUAGUCAGUUUACCUGGCGUGUAUAGAAAUGUUUACAUUAGGUUUGUGAUUGAAGGUAAUGGAAACCUCCAUGUGAUAUUUUGAUAUAUCAAUAUGUAAGAUUGAUAUUUUACUAUAGUAUCAUUUUGCUAUAGAACAUUGUUAUGGUGUUACUAAAUGAUUUUGUAAAUGUUUUUUUUUUUUUUUUUACUCCAUAUAUUGUGGUAGAAAGUAACUGGCCCUCUUGUGGAGCCACUGUGUUGAGGCACUUGAGUAGCAAAGUAGUUUGUCAUAGUAUUGAGUUAAAAUCUGUUAGUUAACACCUUUGUUCUAGUUAACUAUAUUUCUGGGCAACCAAAACAUAAGACCAGGUAAGUGUAUUUACAUCAGUAUAUUUACAGACACCCUUAUCCAGAACAACUUACAUUUAUCUCAUUUAUACAACUGAGCAGUUGAGGGUUAAAGGCCUUGCUCAAGGGCUCAGCAGUGGUAGCUUGGCAAUGAUGCAAUUUGAACUCACAACAUUCUGAUCAGAAAGCCAGUGUCUUACCCACUGAGCUACCACUGCCCUAACAUACUGGAGCUUUCACAUGCCUAGCCGCCUAAUAAAUGAAUUUAUGAUUUGUCCACCCCUAAUUAUUGCUACUUCAUGUACAUGUAUAUAUGUGUAUACCAUUUCUCUUGCUAACUUAUACUAGCUUUGAUCAGAAUUACAGCACUGAACUUGCCAUAUUCAAUGUAUGUAAGUACCUGUAAUUCCUGUGGGUCUUUCUUCCAAAAAAGAGGUGAAAAAAGAAUUAUCGAAGACAAAAUGUUUUCCUUAGUAAAAUCCAUCCAAGAGUAUUGGUUUUGUUAUAAAAAUGUAUUUUUAUACAUAGAGUGAGUAAAGGAAAUUCUCUAAUGACGAGCAAUGAAUAAAGCUUUAUCGAUUGCAACUAAUGCACUGAUAUUAACUGUGCAUUAAAUCUAAUGGUUGUAGAUGGUUGUCUACUUCAACACACACACAUAGACACACAUAUACACAUAGACACACACACACAGACACACACACACACACAUUUGUCUCAUUAUCCCUGUGAGGACCUUUCACUGACAUAAUGAUUAUUAAUGCUAUGCUUACACUUAAACCUAACCACAGUAGCAGAGAAGAAAAAAAACAUAUGAAUAAUAAACAUAAACAAAUAAAAGUUUACUUUCCCAUUGCAAAGCGGCACCCAGAAGAAAAUAUAUACACAGAAGUGAGGACAGCCCACAUCAAACUGCACUCUUGCAAAGAUCCUGAAGCUUCUGGCCAGAAAAGUGUAUGAAAGAUGCAGCUGGAGGUUGAUGAGACUUCAGACAGAUGGUGUAGGUAACUUCCUCACAGCUGAGUGUGCAUCAUGGUGUGAUGAUUCAGAGCAUCAUCAGCCAUGCAGAGUGUCAAGCUAUUGUCCCAGCAUGGCACAGCUACCACUGUUCCCAGCCAAGCACUGAGGGCAACAGACUGGAACGAGGGCAACAUCAGAGUGACGGAGAACAAUCUGCAACACAAGCUCCACACACUGACACUUGUUAAUACUAAAAACACACACACACACAAACUAGAGAGACUGGAGCUGUGAAGUGACAAUGCUAGUUCCUACACCUUCCUUUAUGAAUAAAGUGGGUAUUAAUUAAAAAUUAAUAUUAAUUUCAUCUUGGGUGGUAUGUUUCGCUGUGCCAUGAGGUUUGCAGAACACUGCUGCCACAGAAAUGCUGCACAGGUCUCUCUCUACUCUCUAUACUUGGCUCAAGGUCACACACCUGGGCCUGCUUUGAGCAAACAGCAAGCAGUGUAAGUGGAAAGGCCAUUUUAGAAGGGGAGAGAGCAAAAUGAAUUGUAAAUUAUGAAUGGGCUUCAAUCUGUCUGGAGUAGCCGCAAUAACUAUUCUGAUACCAACAUAUUCCAAAAUCUGGGAUGUUGAGACUGACUGGUAAAUAUAGGAAUAAGAAUGCAGCCACACACACACACACACACACACACACACACACACACGGACACACACCUGGCAACUGUCAAAGGCAAUCAUAGGUAUGACAGGUUUACUCCACCCAGCUUCAUGAACUCAUUAACCCAUCCUUCAUUUCUUUCACUAAUUAAAGAGAAGCAAACCUGCAGCAGUCACAACACAGAUGGGAUGAUUCAGUGUCUUAGAGGUAAGGUUGAGAGGCACUCAGACAGACAGACAGACAGAUAGAGAGAGAGAGACAGAGAAGGAGAUAUGUCACAUUCAUUACAAUGCUGUUCCUUAGUUUAUGCCUGCAAUACGUUGAAGCCAUUCUCAUUAAUGGUAGCCUGGCAUGAAGUCAAAAACAAAGAAGAUUGAUAUUUGUUUCCAAUAUCCCAUGUAAGGAAAUUAAUUCUGCGUUAAUUAGAUCUCCCCAUUAAAAACAGGUUGGUUUGUCUCAACGAGAAAUUCUCAUUUUGAAGAAGCAAGAGGAGAUGGUGGUGUCACACUCUUUGUCAGAGGAAGACAGCGGUGCCCUGAGGCAACUGAUCGAUGUCCAGAGAGCUGAGACUGCAGACGGGGAUCUGACGAGAAUCCCAUCACCAGAGCCAGCCUAGUCACCAAUCUGCUCAUCACAACUACUGCAAGCACCAAACUUAGAAGAGAAACAUGAGUGAAAAGCAAGACAUCACAUCAGCUGGCUUUUCCUCGGGCACUGGAGAAGCAGAGGGCUGAAUAUGAAGUAUAUGAACCUUCCAUUCACUAUGAUUUAUGGUGUAUGUAGCACAUAAAAGCAGUGCAAGCUGUGCACUUUUGAUAAAAGAGGUUAAAUGGCAGGGGAUUUUUUUAUUAUUAUUAUUCAUUUAUAUAAGCUUGCGAAUGCACAGAGUCCGGAAGAGGAAAAUAUUAAAAGAUUCAGUAUGGAGAUGUGAGAACUUAGAUGUGUCCUUGUAGAGCUGCUCUUCUUUCAGCCAGGCUGCUACAUAGCCUUCCCAUUGUACCUAUUGUCUGUGAUCUAUCAAAGAGCAGAGACUUGAGUGCAAUCUCACAGCCCACUUUAGGUUCCUUCCACACUACAAGACAACAAGGAUCCUGUGUGUGUGUGUGUGUUUGUGUGUCUGUGUGUCUGCGUUUCCCACGGAAGGACAAGCCAAAGAAAUCUUUAAGGAAUCUAGAUUGUUCUUUUUUUCUAAAAGUGUACACAAACAUUUACACAUAAACCUUUAUGAGCAUAACCUUGGUACACACACAGGUACACUCUCAAAAAGUGUGCAAGAGUUUUUUUAUAUAGUUAAGCCAAAGAAUCCUUAAGUGUUCUGAAUAGAAGUACAAAAUCGCAGAAUUAUGAUUUGUCAGCAUUGUAUGAAAAAUCUUCCAAUUCCAAGGUAUUGAUGUAAAAAAUACACUUGUGUUUUCUAAGUAUAACAAUUUCCAAGUAGAACACGUUUGGAAAGCUAAGAAUCUUUAUUUCAAACCCUUACAGAACAAUUAAACAACCAUUAAUGAACUCUUUUUCUAAGAGUGUAUUUUUUGGUCAGAAACCAAUUUGGCGCCACCCACAACAUGCACUUUACCACCCCUUCGCCCAGAGGUCCUGCAGGAGAUACUGGUUUGGCACACUUUGGCAUUGUCUGGCACUAUUUAGCACUGUUUAGCACUGUUUGGCACUGUUUGGCACUGCCCUUAAUUGCAGCAAAGCCUUGCUCUAAUAAGAUCUUGACAGGGUUUCAGAUCAAACAACACUCUCUAUAAAACCUUCACACUGGCUCUGUAAAAUGACACGUGAUUGAUGGACAUGUUCCUCAUGCAUGCCCUUCGUACUGAUGUUAAAAUCCCAGCUGUACCCGAGGGUGCCAGUCUGGCAUUCUGAUAGCUAUAAAACUGCCAGAUAAGCUAAUUAGGUAGCACACAACAAUGCAUAUUUAUUCAUAGGUUCAUUUUUCUUUGCUUUUUACAUCACUUUUUGAACGCAUAAAUGCAAAAAGGCAUGCUUUAUAAAUGAUAUGACGUAAAUGAUCUGUUAACCUUGUCAGGCUUGUCUUAACUGCAGAGGCAAUGAGCUAUACAUAUAACAAAUGAAGCAGCAUCAGCAAUGUUUUGGCCUUGUCUGUAUUCUUAUGAAAAUUAUUAAUGUGUUGCUUUCAAUAAUCUGUUAGCAGUGACUAGGUGUAGAUGGCCGAAGCUCAGUCGAGUGUGCUGAGUGGAAGUCAUUGAGUCCUAGAUAUCCUCUGUGCUUUGUCCUUAUCUCAGGAAUAUCAGGAGCUUUUCAUUUAGACCAAUUCUCUGAUUUAAAAAAAAGAGCUCAAAGGUAAUUAAACAUGCAAACGAAUAAUCAUGAACUUGUUAAUGCAGCUGUUAAAUGACAACAGAAAUGUUAGGUAGAAUAGUGUCUCUGGGUUAAACGCUUGACAGUUGCACAAUGAAGGACUUAAAUGUGAGAAGAUAAUUUUGGUGAAUGUGAGGAUGUGAUUAUUGCUUUCAAGUCUCAAAAUCUGACAUACAUACACAUAAAAUAAGGGAAUAUAAAAUCUUCAGAAAAAUAAUUCAUGCAGAUUAGGCAUAUAGUGUGCUGCUUAUUAAUCGUCACACCAGAGAGCUGCUCGAGAAGUAAAGCUGUUGUACAGAAGCGCAGAAGCACAAAAGACUGUUAUGGCUCUAAUUCAAAGGGGAAAAAUAUAUACAUUUCUAGGGCCGCCUAAAAUAUUUCAAAAUAAAAAUUCUUUAUGUACCUUUUUGUUGGAAGUAUUGCUUGAAAAUUGAAAGUAAACCUACCAGAAUUUAGCUGAUGAUGAAGAUAUGAGUCCUUGUUCUUUCUUGUAGUGAUACUCUUUUCUCUCUCUCUAAAUUUCACUCCCAUUCUCAUUCUUUUUCUCACACCAAAGCAGUACUAACUCCCAUACAAGGCACCUACACAACUGAACACAAUUUCAAAGAAUGAUAAAAUGGAAUAAACAGAUUGAAUAUUUUAAAUAAAACCCCAGUAUUACAAUGCAUGACGUCAGCCUAGUGAAAAAGCUUAUAAACCUCUUGUCAGCCACAACCCUUUGUAUUUGUAUUUGUGACUGCUUUGCAUUCAUGUGUUCAAAACAGAGUAGAUGCAUGAUGAGUGUGUUUCUAAGAAACCGAAUAUGUUUUCUGUGAUAUGAAAAGGUUUGCUUGCUCAAGAUAUUCAUCAGUCAUAAACUGAAUUGAGCAAAAUUUCCAUUCUAUAUGCUGUUAAACAUGAUGAACUGAAACAGCUGCAAUAAUGCCAGGUGUAACGGUAUUAGUGUCACUGGGUGAUGACUGUUCUAACAUUUUUACAUGUCUCCUCCAUGAUAACACUGUCACUUCUGGACAACGAAUAAAUUAGCCUGGGAUGAUUGUGUUUCUAGGGUUUUUUUCCCCUUUGAACACUGACGUUUGUGCCUCACAUGGUCCUCUUCUUUUAUUUUAUAUGCAUUAGCAGUUUACAGAGAACAUUAUUGGAGGGUAGAAUGUUAGUGCGGAGAGUAGCAUUGCCACAUCUCCAGGGUCCCUGGUUCAAUCCUGAGUUUGGGUUACUAUCUGUAUGGUGUUUCACGUUCUCCCUGUGUUCGUGUGGGUUUCCUGCCAAAAACAUUCCAGUAGGAAGAUAUACGAAUGAAUGGACAUUAUUGGGUCAUUUACCACUAUAUUUAUUUGGCAACAUCAAAUGUUAGAUGAUUAAGAAACUUACAGUGAUACGACUGCUCAUUCUUUACUUCCAGAAAUGUAUUGUGACAUAUAUAAAUUUAUGAAUAUAAUGUAAAGCUUAACAUAUAGUAUAAAGUAUAAAGCUUUAUACCUGUAAUUGUCAUUACAAUAGCACCUUUUAUUACCCUACAGAAUCAUACUUUUCCAUCAAAAUCAGAAAAUCCAUGCUAGAUGACUAAUUAUGACACAGAAAGAGAUAGAGUCUGCAAAACCACAGAGGUUUCUAUCCAGACAGGACUAAAAUGAUCAAACUACUGCAGAGUUGCUCAAAAAAAACAGUAGAUAAUUUGGUUUGUAAUUUUCUCACGGAGAAUGGACAGAAACAAAAUCACAGAGCACCUGCAAAUGAUGGAAUUACCCAAGAACCCCAAGUAUAUUUAAUAAUGUCCAAAUAGGGCUAUUUUCACACAUUUCCCAUAAGAUGCAGAAAUAGUGAUACUAUAUUUUCCUAUCACAGAUGCACAGUGAUAAAAAGGGCAACAUAGCUCUCUGAAGCAAUUAGAUUUAUAUGUACUCUCUAUUUUGUAUCCCAUUAUAUGCCAUUGUUUUUGUCCUGAGACUGUGGAAGCAUUUUCCAUAAAAAACAACUGAAUGCUGUGAACAUGUGACAUUUGCAUCACUUAAAUGACCCUGACCAGCCUCUAUCCUGAGGCAUUAUGGAAAGAAAAAAAAAAAAAAACAAGACUCGUCUUUCAUAGAUUUGUGACAUGCAGCAUUGUUGAUUCAAAGAGCAGCUAACAUGCAUGACUUCCUGGUCACCAUGUACAGAAUACCAGCACAAAAAGCUCCCACAAGCCACCAACAGCUCAAGGCUAAUGCUAGCCUCUCACACAGCUGUUCCUGCUUUGUACGGGAGGGACAGAAGGGAUAAGGAACAACAAGUACAUUUCAAUCCUUGAUGGCCUAGUUUGGGGCCUUAUUUCUUUUUCUAAUUCAUCCCAUCAUACAGCUUAUACUGCCUUGCCAUUUUUCGUAGUUUGUGAGGCACUAAAGGCUCCUCCUGAUGGACUAACCCAAACCCAUAUCCCCAGCUUUACAAGCAGCUAUAAAAGGUGAUUUAACAGGAAUAAUCAAUGUGUCACUCAGAAAGCAGCUGCUGAGCCCAGGGGCAGGGCGACCGGAUGAAGACUGCAGGUGAAAGGCAGGAUAUAAUGACAUUUUCUACAGGCCCAAUCCUUCAAACCACAGCUUCCAAAAACCUAACCUCCAGUCUCAAUGCCAUCCCCCUGUAACCAACCCAUCCUAACUCAAUUUCACAGCCUACUGCUGCCCAAUGAUGCCUCAUAACACACCAGAGGCAGAGUACACAAACCAACGUUUCAUAUUCAUGCUCUGUAUCAACAGGGUGAGUGAUUUGUUAGCUGGAUGGAAAACAUACACUGUAGCUCUUAGUUACAGGGAUUCUGAGUAUAUGAUGCUGAUUACAUGGGGUCACUUUGAUCUUCAGGGGUGGAAAAUACUUGAAUAAAUGUACUUUGUUACUAUAAUUAAGUAUUAUUAUGAGGUAUUUAUACUUUAGUUAAGUGUUAAGUGUUAUUAAAAUUUAAAUUGAGUACUCUUACUUAGUUACUUAAUUUUAACUCUUUAUGUUUUUACUGAGACCUUCAAAGUACUCGUUAUAAAGUUCCCAGGUCUCCUUCUCUCAUCUAGCCAAUGACUUCUCACAUCUAGCCAAUGACUGCAUGCUAUAUGUCAAUAUAAUGGCCUCCUGUGCAUUUUAUUUACAUUUUAGUCUAAGGCAUCCAAUCAAGUUCAUCAAUGUACACUAAAACAUUAAAACAAUUAUCGUGCCAAUUCUUCCUCUGCUGUGACCUUCUCAUACUAUGCAAGGUAGCUAGGUGCUAUAGCUAUCCCUGUGUGACUGUGGUGUUGAGCUUGAAUUUGAGCACCCCUGGCCCUACCUCAGUAAAAUAUUUCAAUGUGCUGGAGUAAGCAAAGAUAAAAUGAGGUGUCUCCUUUGCCUCACUAGAAGGCAUGAACUCCAUCUAAUUUGAAAAAGCAUAUUGAGUUAUGUUUCACUAACUUCACUAGCGUGCCUUCUUUGCUAAUACCAGGUUAGCCUAUCAGUUCCAGUUGCUAACAUAAAAUGGCUAGGCAGCGAGUCAAAUUCUAGCUAAUGCUAAAUUCUGGUCAUUUACUGAAUAAUUCAUUAGCAAACUACGUAGCGUUACUCAUGCAUAUGACUAGCAAACCUACAGAGAUUGAACAAUGUUUUCAGGUAAAAUGACUAAAAUAAAACAGUUUUAUAUAACUAAUAAAAGUUAGACUUCACAGGAAAGCAUGACAUUACUUAAUUUCAUCAGUUAAAAACAUUUACUUGAAUACAUUUAAAAGUUGCAACUUUUUUAACUUUCACUUGGGUACAUUUUUGGCUGAAUAGUUCACUUUUAAUUAGUAAGUUUUUAACACACUAUCUGUAUUUUCACUUUAGUAUAAUUUGUCAGUACUUUAUACAACAUUAAUUAACAGAUCAGUCAAUUCACAGGUCCACAGAUCACAAGGGUUAUGGGUUCAUAAUAUCAUAUGCCAUAUUCACUGUAUGCCAUAUUCAUAUGACAUAAAGUGGGUGGCAGCUUAACACAGGAAAUAAAAAUUUCGAGUUUUCUACUCGGUCAAAGGUCAAAGCUCCUCAUGUCAAAGUGUAAUCUAUGAAUCCAUUCUGUUCUUUCAUGCAUUUAAAUGUGGAGCUGGUCUCUGGGCUGACCUUCAUUUAAACCAGUGGUUAAGCCUGAACCUCAUAACUCCCAUCCCAAAAUGUAAUGCCCAUGAGCAUAAGGAAAUGAAAGUGAAAAAUCCAUCAUCUCUUUCUCACACAAAUACACACACACACACACACACACACACACACACACACACACUGGUUAGUCAUCACCUCGGCGCCGCCCCAUAUCUCACAUUUCCGAGGCGUAUAAAGCGACGUGUGAUGAGCUACUGCCUGCUAUAGAAAGCUAAUCCAUGCAAAAAAAUAAAUUUAGGUGGGUAAUUGAACUCAAGCAGAAGAAUUACAAGAGGAAAAGCACUCAGGCACCUCCUAUGUGAAUCUUCUAACCUUGAUGUAAUAAUGAGCCCUGCUUCUCCUAACAUCCUGCUUCCUGGAGCACUCUAAUAUUCAUGGAGUCGGGGAGCAAGCCUCCCCACAGGCAUUUAUGUUGCCUCAUCAGAAGUAGAGCAGAGGUUGGAUUGGAAAUGCGACUCAGUUAAAUCUAUACUACUGUGUAGCUGCAAAUGAGCUGAGUAGUGCUGCUACUCGAAACAAAAUCUGAAAUGCUGCCAGUUUCCUCAUAUGGGAAACUGCAAAGGGGUCAUCAUAGAUCAAUGUCUGUUUAUUACGCAGUCUCAUUUUAUUAUAUUUUUGUUAUGUUACAUUGAUUUUAGUAUGAUAUUUCUAUAGACCUUAGUAUGACUCCAGAUGGUAUCAUGGCAGUCCCUUAUUUUUUGGUAGUACUAGGAGGUCAUUAUUGAGUUGUAACUCUGUGCCAUGUAUUUCCUCCUCCAUGUUGCUGUUCUUCCAUGUGGAUGGGAUUACAUCCCCGAUAUAAGAGCUCUAACAGAGAACUGAGUUCUUCUGGACUGCUACAGCGUCCAUUGCAAUGAAUGGAGAACAAGCAAGGCUUCUGACGGAGCACAGACAGGUGAGGGACUAGUGAGGGACUCUACAGACCACUGGGUACACUGAUCAGACAGCACAGGCCGGUAAACACACACAUACACACUCAAAUCCACAGCUGGCUAUGGGAGAUCCAGAACAGCGCUCACUGCACCUGACUGAUAAACUCACACAAACAGACUCAGUGUCUAUGGGGAAAGGGGUCAUUCUUUCCCAGCGGUCAUGCAGCAGAGAUGUGGGCCAACAGAGAAGCCUUCUCCUUUAUGAGCCUGUCGCCAUGCCCCUGCCAAGCUGUCUCUCCUGCACAGACACCCAGACAAAACAAGAGGAGGAAGCAUCAAAAGGCAAUGACAUGCAUUCUGGCACGAGCUCCACGAGGAAAUGUCAGCACUGGCUUUGGGCCUCCAGGUGAUUUCAGCACACAAGGCUGCUGGUUAACCCUGACAACAGCCCAGUGCCCGUAAGCAUGUAGUUGCCCGCCUAAGGAUUUCACAGCCUGGGCAGUAUUUUGAAUGAGACUCCAAGGUCGGAGGCUCAAACACCGAAAAUGUUAUUGGAGCAUUUGAAGGAAGGUGAGUUUGCACUCUGACCCACACACAACCAGGAAAGUGCCAGUGCCAAAGAAAGUAGUACCUUCAUCUCAUUCAUCUGCAGCAACUGCUUUAUCCUGGUCAGGGUCGCAUAAGCUCCAGGGCCUCUCCCGGGAACAGUGGUGGAGGCAGUAAUACACUCUGGAUGGGAUGCCAAAUUACACACAUGGGGCAAUUUAGAGUAGUCAGUUCACCUAUGUCUAUGUUUUGUGAGGUAGGAGGAAACUGGAGAGCCUGGACACAGGAAGAACAUGCUGGUAUAUGGUAGUACACCAUUCCCUACAAACCCUAUAUGGUAGAUUUUAUGGAAUUCAGGCAAGAGUCACACUGAUGAUAGCUAAUAUUAGAAAAAAUUAAUGACCUAAUAUUUUCUUGGUCAAACAUUUAAGGACACCUUGCCAUUUUGCGAAAUGUAUUGUUUGAUUUUCAAUAACAUUUACACCCUAAAGCUGUGCAAGAGUAAAAAAAAUAGAAGUAUUGUCUGUAAUAAUCUGGCCUGUCUAGUCACCCCAUCUUGACCCAAUUGAGUUCUGGGAGGAGUUCAAUCAAAAGGUUUGAAAAUGUUGUCUAAACAGCUCGAUAAACCUCCAGAAAGAUCUACAAUCUGCAUGGAAUAGCAUCUGUGAAGAAUGUUAGGAAAAACUGACUGUUCAUAUGAAGGAGUGGUGUGGCAAUUAUAGCUGCAAGUGCAGGCGGUGACAAAUAAAUAAGUUAAUUGUUUUAGCAUUUUUGUCACAAAUAUUAUGUGUUAUUACUUCCUAAUGAAAAAUCCGGUUAAUAUUUCAUUUAUUAAGUUACCAAAAACACACAAAGUAAAAGCUUCUAUAAAGCUAUGACAUAGUCAAUAUGUUUAUGGGUGUUUUUUUUUUCAUUUAGCUUUUAGCCAAAGAGUUAAUUAAAUGAGACAGGAUACACCCCAGGGUAAACCCAGCAUUCUCACCAGUAGCAAUCUUUUCACCUUGCAUGACGCAACGUAUGUCACUAGCGGGUGUUCGUAUCUGUAGUUACUGCUAGUUGCCAUGGUUUCUCUACUUGUCACUGGCUAGUGAAUGCAUAUCUAGACACAGAAUGUAUGCAAAAUCACCAAUUUAACUACAAAGUAGAUUGCUUCCUGCAAAAAUUAAAAACUGUCGA